rnacentral:rRNA from 1 species
UGAGGAACAUGACCUUCGGCGGGGGAUAGCCGGCCCAACGGCCGGGUAAUACCGCGUACGACCAUUUGGGGACAUCCCCGAGUGGUGAAAGCAGCAAUGCGCCGAAAGAGUGCCUCGCGGCCUAUCAGCUAGUUGGUGGGGUAAUGGCUCACCAAGGCGACGACGGGUAGCUGGUCUGAGAGGAUGGCCAGCCACAUUGGGACUGAGACACGGCCCAGACUCCUACGGGAGGNAGCG